AUUAGAGUUUGAUCCUGGCUCAGAUUGAACGCUGGCGGCAGGCUUAACACAUGCAAGUCGAGCGGUUUGGUUAGCUUGCUAACCAGAUAGCGGCGAACGGGUGAGGAAUGCUUGGGAAUCUGCCUAUUAGUGGGGGAUAACGUUUCGAAAGGAACGCUAAUACCGCAUACGCCCUACGGGGGAAAGGGGGGGAUCUUCGGACCUCUCGCUAUUAGAUGAGCCCAAGUCGGAUUAGCUAGUUGGUGGGGUAAAGGCUCACCAAGGCGACGAUCCGUAGCUGGUCUGAGAGGAUGAUCAGCCACACUGGAACUGAGACACGGUCCAGACUCCUACGGGAGGCAGCAGUGGGGAAUAUUGGGACAAUGG
rnacentral:rRNA from 1 species